UACGUAGGGGGCAAGCGUUGUCCGGAUUUACUGGGCGUAAAGCGCGUGUAGGUGGUACGAUAAGUCUGCUGUGAAAGCUCCCGGCUCAACUGGGAGAGGUCGGUGGAAACUGUCGAACUUGAGGACGGUAGAGGAGAGUGGAAUUCCCGGUGUAGUGGUGAAAUGCGUAGAGAUCGGGAGGAACACCAGCGGCGAAGGCGGCUCUCUGGGCCGCUCCUGACACUGAGACGCGAAGGCCAGGGGAGCGAACGGG
rnacentral:rRNA from 1 species